UACGAAGGGGGCUAGCGUUGUUCGGAAUUACUGGGCGUAAAGCGCGUGUAGGCGGGUCUUUAAGUCCGGGGUGAAAUGCCAGGGCUCAACCUUGGAACUGCCUUUGAUACUGGAGACCUUGAGUCCGGGAGAGGUGAGUGGAAUUGCGAGUGUAGAGGUGAAAUUCGUAGAUAUUCGCAAGAACACCAGUGGCGAAGGCGGCUCACUGGCCCGGAACUGACGCUGAGACGCGAAAGCGUGGGGAGCAAACAGG
rnacentral:rRNA from 1 species